CAAACAGUUUUACAUAUUUAAAAAUAUACAUACUUAAAAUUAACAUAUUACUAAACCUACAGUUCCCUAAAUAUGCAUAUAAAACAAAAAAGUAUACGGUAUACUGACACUUAUAAACGUAAGUUUUAUAAACGUUAAAAAAAACAAAGUAAAAUGAACGCAACACCACCCGUAUCCCUCAAACUAUGCAACGAACGCACAUUUUCUAAGUUUGCUGGAUGACAGGCACCGGUUGGUUACGUUCGGGAGCGAGCGGUCGUGUUACGCAACGAGAUAAGUACUAAAAUGCUAUAGUGUAAAUUAACAUAAGUCGGAAUCUAAAUGAUCCGGAGACCUAAAAAAGAAACAAUUGUUCAAUACAGGUCGCAGUGUUUGUAUAAUGCGAUGUGUUUACUUUUUGAUAAAUACUUAUUAUUAGUAUUUAUAUGACGGCUUGCGAGAACCCCGGAUUUUGCAAUGUAAACUCCACGCACCAAACGUGGUGUAUACUGUAGAUAAUAACAUCUAUAAUUAUAAUUGUAUGAAUCAAGGACAGUGAUGAUGAUGAUAUGAUCGUCAUCUAUAGCAAGAUAUUAAAUUCUUCAUCAUAAAAAAAAAUAAAUAUGAAUGGAUGGCGUGAAGGCCAGAAACUUUAGGUCUCCUGACUCCAUUUAAUGACGUAACAAAACUCAGGACACAACAA